rnacentral:rRNA from 1 species
AGUGGCGCACGGGUGAGUAACGCGUAGAUGAUAUGCCUUUUAGUGGGGGACAACAUCGUGAAAACGGUGCUAAUACCGCAUAAGCUUAGUGACAUUGAAAAAACUAAGGAAAGGGGGCUUCGGCUCUCGCUAAAAGAUUGGUCUGCGUGACAUUAGCUUGAUGGUGGGGUAAUGGCCUACCAUGGCAACGAUGUCUAGCUGGUCUGAGAGGAUGAUCAGUCACACUGGAACUGAGACACGGUCCAGACUCC